GACGAACCGUACGAACGUUAUUCGGAAUUACUGGGCGUAAAGGGCGCGUAGGCGGCCACCGCAAGUCAGUUGUGAAAUCUCUGGGCUUAACCCAGAACGGUCAGCUGAUACUGCGGGGCUAGAGUGCAGAAGGGGCAACUGGAAUUCUCGGUGUAGCGGUGAAAUGCGUAGAUAUCGAGAGGAACACCUGCGGCGAAGGCGGGUUGCUGGGCUGACACUGACGCUGACAGCGCGAAAGCUAGGGGAGCGAAGCGGG
rnacentral:rRNA from 1 species